AAUGUCCCAGGCACUUCCAGAAGCAAAGGCUUUAAGGAAAUGGGCUUAUUCCAUUAUACAGUAAUGAAAGAUAACAUCUGAAGAGCAUUUUUGCAGCUUGCAAAAUACAAAGAACUGAACUCUCUUGCUAUCCAAAUGGGCUCCAGAAGACAGACUCUCAGACAGACGGAUAUCGUAGAUGGAAGGAGAUACCAAAAAAAGCCGGAUUGACUCAAUGCAGUGUGGACGUCGUAUGAAGCCUAAUUUGAAGAACAUAACAAAAAGAACAGAAUUUGGAGACAAUCAUGGAACACUAAACAUAAAAGAGAUAUCCUAUGAUAUGAAGGAAGGAUUGUGACUUUAUUUGUUGUGAUGGUGAUAUUAUGGUUAUAUAUUUUUUAAAUCACUGUGUAUUAGAGAUAUAUACAGGUGUAUUCACAGGUGAAUGAUAUGGUGUUUGGAAUUUCCUUUAGAG